UACGUAGGGUGCAAGCGUUAAUCGGAAUUACUGGGCGUAAAGCGCGUGUAGGCGGUUGUUCAAGUCAGGUGUGAAAGCCUUGAGCUCAACUCAAGAAAUGCACUUGAUACUGGAUGACUAGAGGACCGGAGAGGAUAGUGGAAUUCCCAGUGUAGUGGUGAAAUACGUAGAGAUUGGGAAGAACACCAGUGGCGAAGGCGGCUAUCUGGACGGUUUCUGACGCUAAGACGCGAAAGCGUGGGGAGCAAACAGG
rnacentral:rRNA from 1 species